rnacentral:rRNA from 1 species
UACGUAGGGGGCAAGCGUUGUCCGGAUUUAUUGGGCGUAAAGAGCUCGUAGGUGGUUCGGUAAGUCGGAUGUGAAAUCUCCAGGCUCAACCUGGAGGGGUCAUUCGAUACUGCCGUGACUAGAGGUCGGUAGGGGAGUGUGGAAUUCCUGGUGGAGCGGUGAAAUGCGCAGAUAUCAGGAGGAACACCCGUAGCGAAGGCGGCACUCUGGGCCGAUACUGACACUGAGGAGCGAAAAGCGUGGGGAGCGAACAGG